GUACUUACUUCUUUUACUCAGUACAUCUACUGAAAUUGGAAUUACACACAGAAGAUUACAGUCCCUGUGCAAGGUCAUGCAAUUUACGAAGAGUUCCAUAUUUUA